rnacentral:rRNA from 3 species
AGAGUUUGAUCAUGGCUCAGAUUGAACGCUGGCGGCAGGCCUAACACAUGCAAGUCGAGCGGUAGCACAGAGAGCUUGCUCUCGGGUGACGAGCGGCGGACGGGUGAGUAAUGUCUGGGAAACUGCCUGAUGGAGGGGGAUAACUACUGGAAACGGUAGCUAAUACCGCAUAAUGUCGCAAGACCAAAGUGGGGGACCUUCGGGCCUCAUGCCAUCAGAUGUGCCCAGAUGGGAUUAGCUAGUAGGUGGGGUAAUGGCUCACCUAGGCGACGAUCCCUAGCUGGUCUGAGAGGAUGACCAGCCACACUGGAACUGAGACACGGUCCAGACUCCUACGGGAGGCAGCAGUGGGGAAUAUUGCACAAUGGGCGCAAGCCUGAUGCAGCCAUGCCGCGUGUGUGAAGAAGGCCUUCGGGUUGUAAAGCACUUUCAGCGGGGAGGAAGGCGUUAAGGUUAAUAACCUUGGCGAUUGACGUUACCCGCAGAAGAAGCACCGGCUAACUCCGUGCCAGCAGCCGCGGUAAUACGGAGGGUGCAAGCGUUAAUCGGAAUUACUGGGCGUAAAGCGCACGCAGGCGGUCUGUCAAGUCGGAUGUGAAAUCCCCGGGCUCAACCUGGGAACUGCAUUCGAAACUGGCAGGCUAGAGUCUUGUAGAGGGGGGUAGAAUUCCAGGUGUAGCGGUGAAAUGCGUAGAGAUCUGGAGGAAUACCGGUGGCGAAGGCGGCCCCCUGGACAAAGACUGACGCUCAGGUGCGAAAGCGUGGGGAGCAAACAGGAUUAGAUACCCUGGUAGUCCACGCCGUAAACGAUGUCGAUUUGGAGGUUGUGCCCUUGAGGCGUGGCUUCCGGAGCUAACGCGUUAAAUCGACCGCCUGGGGAGUACGGCCGCAAGGUUAAAACUCAAAUGAAUUGACGGGGGCCCGCACAAGCGGUGGAGCAUGUGGUUUAAUUCGAUGCAACGCGAAGAACCUUACCUGGUCUUGACAUCCACAGAACUUUCCAGAGAUGGAUUGGUGCCUUCGGGAACUGUGAGACAGGUGCUGCAUGGCUGUCGUCAGCUCGUGUUGUGAAAUGUUGGGUUAAGUCCCGCAACGAGCGCAACCCUUAUCCUUUGUUGCCAGCGGUUAGGCCGGGAACUCAAAGGAGACUGCCAGUGAUAAACUGGAGGAAGGUGGGGAUGACGUCAAGUCAUCAUGGCCCUUACGACCAGGGCUACACACGUGCUACAAUGGCAUAUACAAAGAGAAGCGACCUCGCGAGAGCAAGCGGACCUCAUAAAGUAUGUCGUAGUCCGGAUUGGAGUCUGCAACUCGACUCCAUGAAGUCGGAAUCGCUAGUAAUCGUAGAUCAGAAUGCUACGGUGAAUACGUUCCCGGGCCUUGUACACACCGCCCGUCACACCAUGGGAGUGGGUUGCAAAAGAAGUAGGUAGCUUAACCUUCGGGAGGGCGCUUACCACUUUGUGAUUCAUGACUGGGGUGAAGUCGUAACAAGGUAACCGUAGGGGAACCUGCGGUUGGAUCACCU